rnacentral:rRNA from 1 species
GCUUACGGCCAUACCACACCUGAACACGCCCGAUCUCGUCCGAUCUCGGAAGCUAAGCAGGGUCGGGCCUGGUUAGUACUUGGAUGGGAGACCGCCUGGGAAUACCAGGUGCUGUAAGCU